GCUGGGUGUGGUGGUGCAUGCCUGUAAUCCCAGCUGCUCGGGAGGCUGAGGUGGGAGGAUCAUGAGUUCCAAACCAGCCUCAAUAACUUAGCGAGACCCUGUCUCUA
rnacentral:sRNA from 1 species